GAUCCUAGCUCAGGAUAAACGCUAGCGGCAGGCCUAACACAUGCAAGUCGAGGGGCAGCGUAACGGGUAGCAAUACCUGUUUGACGGCGACCGGCGCACGGGUGCGUAACGCGUAUGUAACCUACCGUUCACAGGGGGAUAGUCAGAGGAAACUUUGAAUAAUACCGCAUAAAACAGGGGUCCGGCAUCGGAAUAUUUGUUUAAAGGUGGCGACACGGUGAACGAUGGGCAUGCGUUCGAUUAGAUAGUUGGUGAGGUAACCGG
rnacentral:rRNA from 1 species